CACACCGUUUUUGAGAGAGGGCUCACUUGACAGCCGUUCGACGAGAGAGGGUUGGCUUGACACCAGUGUUUUACUGGUGGUUAGUGUACAGUCUUCCUGUUAGAACUUCUUGAAAAACGAAACAAACGAAAGUAAACCCGUUUCCUUUCCUUUAGUUUAGAGCUGCAUCUUCGGCUGCAGAGCGCUAAGGAACCAUGGCGGUUCAAAAGCUGCUCCUUGAAUCUCUGGAGCAGUUGCGCACGGUUGACUUCCAAAAGUUUCAGUGGUACCUCACAGAAUGGGUCCUUCAAAGCUUUAAAUCAAUCCCUCGGUCCCACCUGGAGCAUGCAUCCAGGCCAGAAACAGUGACUAGGAUCGUUGAGAGAUACGGAGAGGAUAAAGCAGUGGAAAUCACUAUUCAGAUCUUAAGGGAGAUUGGAAACAACAAUGAAGCAGAGAAGUUGAUGAAGGCCCACUCAGCACAGGUGUAUUGAUGGCUUCAUCUUCCACCACCCCCUCCUCUGUGACGGCCCCUGCAGCUCCAGCUACAAUGCUGGCUAAGGACAAAAGCGCGAUUGUUGCCCCUACCAUCAGCAACAGCACCAUCGGAGAAAUAAAUAUAACCUUUAGAAAACAUAGCUGAACAACAAAUCCUGAUAAAUUCCUGACUUAAUGCAUUAUUUAGGUUGAAAUAGAAACCAAAUAGUUUAAUUUUGAGAUUUACCUUUAAAAAAAAAGACAAAUCAAUCAUUGACCAUUGUUCGUUGAGAUGAAACUGAGUGCUUGACUUACUCAAGGACAAUAUAAUAGGAAUGCCGAAAAAUUAAUAAAGCUGAACGUGACUUGUAACUUAAACUUACCUGUGACCUAUUAUUGUCAUUACCGGUACUUAAACUGUACAAUUCAAAUAAUUAAAAUAAGAAACAAAGGGUCCAUACUCCUCACAAAUUAUUUCUAAAAAUAUUCAUUUUUAAUCUCCAAACUGCUGAGUAAAACACAGUGAGGCAUGUUUUGUAGAAAUAUGUUUUUUUGAAGAGGAAUCGCUAUUUUUUAUUCUGAAUAUUUACAUCCCUGAAUCUGCAGGCGCAUUUAUUUCUAGCAGGUGUGCCUGGACUAUUCCAAUGUGUUGGGGUUUUAUUUUUUGGGCAAAAAAGCUUCUAAUGCAGACAUAAGUGUGAGUCAAAAAUUGUAUUUCUUGAUCAUGUGUAUUAUAUAACAUUAACACCAGAGGUUUACAUCCGCUGCAGAAAAAGACAGGUAACUCAGUCUAUUUUUUUCGCAUUUAAUAAGUCCUCACUCAUCCAGUUGAAGUUAUUGUAAAAAUAAUUUGUUGUAAAAGAUCGAGUUUUAGAAAUGUUUUUUUUUUUUAAGGUCAAAACUGUUAAACAAAUACACAUUUACUGGACAUGUGUAGCUUUCCAGAUCAACUUUAACUUGAAUGAAAAUAGUUGGUAUUCAUCAAAAUUCUUCUAGUUAUAUUUUACUGGGAAUAUGCUCUGAAGAGAUUAAUGAGAGCGAAUGCAAACAACAACAAAAAACAACAUUGUUUUAGUUUGUAAGCAACUUUGAAACUGUAUCGGAACCAUGAUUAAGUGAUGAGUUUUGUUGGCCCAUUUGCAGCCCAGCUUUUCCUUCCUGUCUUAUGUUUAUAUUAUAUUUCUAAAGAAUAGAUUUUAUUUUGUGGGCCGAUAUUAUUAGUACAGUCACCAAAGACUGUGCCACCACCCGAAUCUCACACUUUUUACGUUAUCAGACUAAAGGUGUUUAUUCUGUUUGCAUGUGCACUCUGUAACCUGACUUGUUAAACUGAUUUGGAGGAUCAAGCUUCUCUAUUAGAAGGCCCGCCUUGCAUGUGUUGGUUUUCUCAGGGAACUCCAGCCUCCUCCCACCGUCCACAAACAUGCUUUACAGGUUAAUUUGGUUGUCCUUUUGUGUGAAUGUGAGUGUGCAUAGGUAUGUGAUCUGUGGCCCUGCAACAGACUGGCGACCUGUCCAGGAUGUCCCCUGCCUUCACCCACAAGUUGCCGGGAGAGGCUCCAGCUGCCCUGUGACCCCAAAAGGGAAAAACUGGUUUAGAAGAUAAAUAAACCUUCUCUAUCAUUAAAGAAAAUAUCCUUUCAUUAAAAGUACUGCAAACUCUCUGUAUAAUUGCACUUUUUGUUGAGAACUCUCUUUGGAGGUCUGAAGUCAUAGGAGGAUCUGGCUUUACUUUGGAUGGUAAAAUGUCCCUAUAUGACUAAAAGCCCCCAAAUGGUCCAUUACUUCCCACACUGUAUUUCUUGAUAAGGAAAACACUGGACAACUCUUAUGAAAGAUUUACAGAAACAGGACUUUCACUAAAAGCUCUUCAAAGAAGAUUCCCUUUUACUCUCCCUGAAGGACUUACUCCAGACUCCUUGGGAAUGUAAGGUUUAUGACUUCAUCCACGGAAGGACACACAAACUCCACUCAGGACAAGCAGAGAUGAACAUUUUAUUUGAAUUACCUGUUUCCACGAAUAAAAAUUUCAAAUAUCUAUUAA